rnacentral:rRNA from 1 species
GACGAACCACACAAACGUUAUUCGGAAUUACUGGGCGUAAAGCGCACGUAGGCGGCGCCGUAAGUCAGGGGUGAAAUCCCGGAGCUCAACUCCGGAACUGCCCUUGAAACUGCAGUGCUAGAAUCCUGGAGAGGCGAGUGGAAUUCCGAGUGUAGAGGUGAAAUUCGUAGAUAUUCGGAAGAACACCAGUGGCGAAGGCGACUCGCUGGACAGGUAUUGACGCUGAGGUGCGAAAGCGUGGGGAGCAAACAGG